GCAGUAGCCGCGGGAAUACAGAGGAUGCAAGCGUUAUCCGGAAUGAUUGGGCGUAAAGCGUCUGUAGGCGGCUCUUCAAGUCCGCCGUCAAAUCCCAGGGCUCAACCCUGGACCGGCGGUGGAAACUACCAAGCUGGAGUACGGUAGGGGCAGAGGGAAUUUCCGGUGGAGCGGUGAAAUGCGUAGAGAUUGGGAGGAACACCAACGGUGAAAGCAGUCUGCUGGGCCGACACUGACACUGAGGCACGAAAGCUUGGGGAGCAAAUGGGAUUAGAGACCCCAGUAGUCCCUGUCUCUUAUAC
rnacentral:rRNA from 1 species